rnacentral:lncRNA from 1 species
ACUGCAAGUUGCAAUGCAAGCACGAAUGAUAAUCAAGCUGAGAACGAACGCGACUGCUACUGGCCGAUCGAUGAAUGAAUCAUGUGCGCAGCUGCUCCUUUUGGAGGUCGAUGGCGAGGACGGUGCUGAGGUUCAUGGGCGCGAUGUAGUCGACGGAUCCGGACAUGAACUGCUGCACGAUGAGGCGGUUGGCGCGCUCGGUGGGGUGGAAGGCGUCCCAGAACACGAAGGCGUCGCGGUCGGCGCAGAGGCUGGACACCAUGGUGCAGAGGCCCAUCCCGUUGAACCGUCCCUGGCCGCAGCACGCCUGGGUGGCCGUCUCGAAGCCGUACGCCUUGGGGUCGUCGAUGAAGUCGUUGUGGAUCCGCUGCGUGUUCACGCCGACGAACACGUCGCUGCCGUACCCGGCGUUGAGGUCCGCCAGCAGCGCCAUCAGCCGCGGGUUGUACAUCUCCGCCGCACGCUGCAGCUCACGGUCGCAGCUCCCGUCCAGGCUGUGCAGCGCGAGCUCCGCCGGGACGCAACCGAUCGGACCCACGCCCUGCACCAGCACGCGCCGCGCGCCCAGGUCGUACAGCUUCUGCACAGGUCGUUCGUUCGUUCAUGGCAGUCGAACGUCAGCUCGUUGUCAUCUAUCCCAGUCAGCAUGCGGCAGGAAGAAGAAGAAGAGAGGGCCGGCAUACCGUGAGGAUCUGCCUGUACUCGGAGAGGAUGUAGUUGAUGUAGUCGGGGAGGGAGAACUCGCGGGAGCGCGCUGAGUAGGGCACCAGGUAGUAGUUGUUGACGAAGUCGUUGCCGCCGAGGGUGAUGAGCACCAGCGAGCCGCUCACCAGA